UUAAAUACCAAAAUGAACGAAUAAUGCAUAAAAGAACAGCAAAAAGACAUUAGCUGUUAAAUUCCACUCGAAUUUUUUUUUCAAUUAUAUUUGCACAAGAUAUAUAGCUUUAGGAUAACAUCGACAACUCCUAAAAGAACCCGCGCUACAGUCGAACCACUCUAUCAAACAUUUCUUUUGCCGCUUGCCGCUCCACUUGGGUCAUAGGAAACCCCAUCCUUUGCGCAAAACGUGAAAAGGUUGAUUCCUUCAGUAUUAAAAUUAGUCGGCAUGAAAUGAUAAGGUCAAAAUGACCCCUGGCUCCCGGACUAUACGGUUAACGGGCAACUGGUUCAUGCAUAUUCCCCAUUGCUCACCUACGAGCCGCUGACAACAUCGCAAUGCAGCUAGCCAUCGAAAGCGCUGUUAUUCUGGAACCUCAAAAAUUACUAUCAAGCUGAGAAAUUAGGUCCUCAGUCAAGUCUGAAGUUAACCGGAAUAGUUUUUAAAAUUUUCCUGUAGCCAAAUGGAAAGGAUUGUCCACAUCCUGGAGCACACAUCGAACCACUAUUUGAGGAUUCAACGCCUCUCCAGCCAUAAGCUAAAUACUCAAAGGACAUAUUCGCGUUUUUUAUUAAGUUUUUUUGUAAAGUGUGUAUUUUUUACAUGAUUACAUAAUGUUAUGAAUGUAAUUUCAAAAUUUUAAUUUAAA